rnacentral:rRNA from 1 species
AACGAACGCUGGCGGCAUGCCUAACACAUGCAAGUCGAACGAGACCUUCGGGUCUAGUGGCGCACGGGUGCGUAACGCGUGGGAAUCUGCCCUCAGGUACGGAAUAACUCAGGGAAACUUGAGCUAAUACCGCAUAAUGUCUUCGGACCAAAGAUUUAUCGCCUGAGGAUGAGCCCGCGUAGGAUUAGCUUGUUGGUGAGGUAAAAGCUCACCAAGGCGACGAUCCUUAGCUGGUCUGAGAGGAUGAUCAGCCACACUGGGACUGAGACACGGCCCAGACUCCUACGGGAGGCAGCAGUGGGGAAUAUUGGACAAUGGGCGAAAGCCUGAUCCAGCAAUGCCGCGUGAGUGAUGAAGGCCUUAGGGUUGUAAAGCUCUUUUGCCCGGGAUGAUAAUGACAGUACCGGGAGAAUAAGCUCCGGCUAACUCCGUGCCAGCCGCCG